AGCAGCCGCGGUAAUUCCAGCUCCAAUAGCGUAUAUUAAAGUUGUUGCAGUUAAAAAGCUCGUAGUUGAAUUUCGGGAUCAAUAUAUCGGUCGUGCCUUGGUACGUACUGGUAUCAUUGGUUUCUCCUUUCUGACGAACCAUGAUGUCAUUAAUUUGGUGUUAUGGGAAGUUAGGACUGUUACUUUGAAAAAUUAGAGUGUUUAAAGCAGGCUCACGCUUGAAUACAUUAGCAUGGAAUAAUGAAAUAGGACGUUUGAUUCUAUUUUGUUGGUUUCUAGGAUCGACGUAAUGAUUAAUAGGGAUAGUUGGGGGCAUUAGUAUUCAAUUGUCAGAGGUGAAAUUCUUGGAUUUAUUGAAGACUAACUACUGCGAAAGCAUUUGCCAAGGAUGUUUUCAUUAAUCAAGAACGAAAGUUAGGGGAUCGAAGACGAUCAGAUACCGUCGUAGUC
rnacentral:rRNA from 1 species